GCAUGCUGGUCUUGCUGAAUAGGUGUGUUGCGUCACCAUGUGGAAAGCCAUGUGGCCCAGCAAGGAGAAACUAUUUUUAACUUUUUUUCCUUCAAGUGUUCUGAAGGCUGCAAGAGCUUUGAGUUGGAAGGGAAGUCGACGUGAGUCACAAUCCUGCUGAGGAAAGAGCUGGCAUCGAGGUGAAAGGGAACACCGAUGUUCUGUGCCAAUCUCCUGCCUGACAUUCAUUUUUAAAAGUGCCACCCUUGCUCAAAGGCUGUGCCUGCUGAUCUCCUGGGUCUCUGAGAUCUUACACCAAUAUUUCUAUGAAAAGUGGGACUCGGGAGCCUUGGGAGGUCGAGAAGCCCUGAGAGAAGAAGCCACGAACCUGCCAGCUUAGUCAUGAGCACUGGACAUGGAAGGAGGGGAAAUUCCAGCAUUGGGCAAGGAUGCUUCUUUCCUUCCACCCUAACUCUCUCUCCCCUGCUUGUUUUUGGAUCUUUGCCACUGUUUAAAUUUAAGCAGAUUUGCUAUCCCAACAUCUGCACUUUGGUUAUUUGACUAUUGCCUGGCUCUGGGUCAAACCACAGGAGAACACACCAGCCAGUGAUUUACAAUCCAGCCUGGGAUUAGAAUGGCUUUAUUUUCCUUGGACCCCUAUUUACUGGCCCAUUGGUAUUAGUGCACAGUGUUAUAAUAACAAGGCUGGAAUUAUUAGACCUCAUAGAAAUAAUCACAAGGAAUAAGUGGCUAGAACACUCAGAUUGGGUCCAUACCAGGCAAAUAGAGCAUGUAGUUUAACUAUUGCUUUUGAUCAUGUCUUUAAAGGCUCAGCUCAUAUGCCAAUCCUAUAGGAGGUCUUUUCGGGUUCCUUAUAUUGAUAGUGGUCCUUUUUUUCCUUCCCCUACAUUUAUAAUGGUUUGUUCAUUUGAUACUUUGUCUUCUCCUAUGGGAAUAUAAAUUUCUUGAAAGUAGAGAUUGUAUUGUUUUCAUUUCAGCACAGAGAAUAGCACAUAGUAAAUGUUUAAUAAAUACAUUAUCCCUUCA